rnacentral:rRNA from 1 species
GUUGAAGGAUUUGGAAAAUUCCGCUAAAGAGGGUGAAAGCCCCGUAGACGAAAUGCUAACAACACCUAGGAGGAUCCUGAGUACGGCGGAACACGAGAAAUUCCGUCGGAAUCCGCGGGGACCAUCCCGCAAGGCUAAAUACUCCCUAGUGACCGAUAGUGAACCAGUACCGUGAGGGAAAGGUGAAAAGCACCCCGGAAGGGGAGUGAAAUAGAUCCUGAAACCGUGUGCCUACAACAAGUCAAAGCUCGUUAAUGAGUGAUGGCGUGCCUUUUGUAGAAUGAACCGGCGAGUUACGAUUGCAUGCGAGGUUAAGUCGAAGAGACGGAGCCGCAGCGAAAGCGAGUCUGAAUAGGGCGAAUGAGUAUGUAGUCGUAGACCCGAAACCAUGUGAUCUACCCAUGUCCAGGUUGAAGGUGCGGUAAAACGCACUGGAGGACCGAACCCACGUACGUUGAAAAGUGCGGGGAUGAGGUGUGGGUAGCGGAGAAAUUCCAAACGAACUUGGAGAUAGCUGGUUCUCUCCGAAAUAGCUUUAGGGCUAGCCUCGGAAUUGAGAAUGAUGGAGGUAGAGCACUGUUUGGACUAGGGGCCCAUCUCGGGUUACCGAAUUCAGAUAAACUCCGAAUGCCAUUCAUUUAUAUCCGGGAGUCAGACUGCGAGUGAUAAGAUCCGUAGUCGAAAGGGAAACAGCCCAGACCACCAGCUAAGGUCCCAAAAUAUAUGUUAAGUGGAAAAGGAUGUGGGGUUGCACAGACAACUAGGAUGUUGGCUUAGAAGCAGCCACCAUUUAAAGAGUGCGUAAUAGCUCACUAGUC